CAGAGCUUUAACAGCUCCUUACAUCAUUUGCCAACCUGCUCUGAACGUGUCCCAGAUUAAUAUAUCUGCAGAAAUUCUUUUUGAAGCACUUAGUCAACAUCAAGGACAAUGGCUAUAAAGACCUGAAGCACUUCCCAGAUAUCAUCUUGUUGCCCAUUGGUAAUAUUUUCUAUUGCCACUGCUCAAAUGUAUGAGAAGAAUACAGUCUGCUGUUUGUUCAUCUUAGGGGAAAUUCUGUAAUACGGGAAGCAGGUCCAAGUUGGAAGCCACUAAGAUCCAGAACAUUGUGACCCUUCAAAGCAGCCAGGAUAUUUCCCAAAUAAGUCACAUCUGACUGUAUCCGAAGACGCUGCCUGGGUUGGCAUACAAUGGAGACUCAUGGGAACACGACCUUUACAAAAGGAACUUCAAGGCAGAGAUUAAAAGUGGUCUGGAAGCUUCUCAACGACAGAGGUGGCAGGGUGAGAGCUGGCAGACAUCACCAGGGCCACCAUUCCAGCUGCUGCUCUCAACCCUCACCCCCAGGAGGCUGGCACAGCAGUUCCUCCUCAAGUCAUAACUCUUGGCCUCCUUCAAUUGCCCCCAGGUUCCCAGUGGAUGUUUUUCUUCACUUCCCCUGUGAAGUCACUUGAAUCUGGGCAGCGGUGGGGGGCAGGGGAGUCACAUGGUAGGUUUCAGCUUCACCAGUGGGAGAAAUGGCCCCGUAAAUACGUUCAAAGAAGGCCCACCAAGUCCUUCAGAAGGAAGAGGGGGCCAGUGACAUGAAUGCGAUUAUUGUAAUGGAGCAAAAUGUAUGACCUCUCGGGAUUCUGUAAAAUUCAGCAAAAGGGAAUGCCACAGCUAACCAUUUCCCUGGGGAGCACUAAACCUGCAGCCGACUUAUUAAUUAGGGCUUCUCGGGGGCACAGAAAAGGUGGGGGGGUGCUUUUUUAGUCACAGAGACAGAGCUCCUUUCUAAUCUAGUUAUUUCCAUGGGGGCAACUCCUGCAAUCUUUUUCAAAAAAAAAAACAAAAACAGUUUGAGCUACAUGCUCACAAGA